UACGUAGGGUGCAAGCGUUGUCCGGAAUUAUUGGGCGUAAAGAGCUCGUAGGCGGUCUGUCGCGUCUGCUGUGAAAACUCAGGGCUUAACCCUGAGCUUGCAGUGGGUACGGGCAGACUAGAGUGCGGUAGGGGAGACUGGAAUUCCUGGUGUAGCGGUGAAAUGCGCAGAUAUCAGGAAGAACACCAACGGCGAAGGCAGCUCGCUAGGACGGAACUGA
rnacentral:rRNA from 1 species